rnacentral:rRNA from 1 species
ACGGGUGAGUAACGCGUGGGAAUCUACCCAUCUCUACGGAAUAACGCAUGGAAACGUGUGCUAAUACCGUAUACGUCCUUCGGGAGAAAGAUUUAUCGGAGAUGGAUGAGCCCGCGUUGGAUUAGCUAGUUGGUGGGGUAAAGGCCUACCAAGGCGACGAUCCAUAGCUGGUCUGAGAGGAUGAUCAGCCACACUGGGACUGAGACACGGCCCAGACUCCUACGGGAGACAGCAGUGGGGAAUAUUGGACAAUGGGCGCAAGCCUGAUCCAGCCAUGCCGCGUGAGUGAUGAAGGCCCUAGGGUUGUAAAGCUCUUUCACCGGUGAAGAUAAUGACGGUAACCGGAGAAGAAGCCCCGGCUAACUUCGUGCCAGCAGCCGCGGUAAUACGAAGGGGGCUAGCGUUGUUCGGAUUUACUGGGCGUAAAGCGCACGUAGGCGGACUAUUAAGUCAGGGGUGAAAUCCCGGGGCUCAACCCCGGAACUGCCUUUGAUACUGGUAGUCUUGAGUUCGAGAGAGGUGAGUGGAAUUCCGAGUGUAGAGGUGAAAUUCGUAGA